AUAAGUGUGCUUCCCAUCCUAAACUUGCAAUUUAUAUAUUAAAAGAAAUAUGGAACCUUCUUACAGAUUGAAGUCAUUUGUUGCUCUUUUAGCAAUACUUUUAAUACUAAUGUCAUCUAUGAUGGUUACUGAUGCCCAAUCCAAUUUCAAACAUGGGCGAAAACUGUUUCAAAAUGAUUAUUAUGGGAUUGGUUACCCAACUGGACCGAGUGGAUAUGGAGCAUAUAGCCCUCCUACGUAACUCUUCUCAUAUUCUUUUUCUCUUAACUUUUUAUCUCUAUUUCAAUUUUAAUAUUUUCAUUUAUUAUAAAAUUAAUUUAUAAUAAAGGAAUAAUGAAAUUAAGAGAGAAAUAAAGAGCUUAAAAAAAAUAAGAAAGAAAGACAAGAUCCAGAUCAGUUAAAUAGUACUUAUCUAUAUAGCUUUUUGGAUAUAUUUACUAAAUAAGGAGUUAUACAUUAUUUGUAUUUUAUUUGGUAGUACAAUUAUAAUAAUUUGGCAUGUCCAAUUUCAUUUCAUAUGUAAUAUCAUUCAUUCUUGUAAGAUGACGCUGGUGACUACUUUGUUUAUCGUUUUUUUGUGUUUUGUCUAGUAUUUGAUGUCGUUCUGAUAGUGUAUGGUGUAUAUUGCAAGCUAGAAUACAAAUACAUACAUAUUCUACAAAAAAAAAUUGCAUCACAACAUCUCAUAACUUAUUGUCACCCACAUCUCGAUAAUCACAUUCAAAUCAAUAUCAUGCAUACAACUCAUUUAGGUAAUGCAAUUCGAAUGUGCAACUCGAUACAUAUACAUGUGGUACCAACUUAAUAUUUGGUUCUCUCAGGAACUAGGUCCCCUCUAUAAACCCACAAGCCCCUUAUCAGAGCUCUAAGCCCCCUCUCGGAGCUUGGGACAAGUCACUAGUCCCCUCUCUGAAAUAGUGAACAUGCCUCUUGAUAACUCAAUAUGAUGCAUGCUCAUAUACCUCAAUGCAUAAAUAAAUCAAUGCUUUAAUACCCCUCUGUGAUCUUAACAAUUUGCACUGACAACUCACGUAACCCCUUCUCUAGAUUACCACACAACAACAAUUCACAUAUGUACAACGCAACAUAAACACAAUGCAACUCAAGCAUAUAAUAACUCUUUUCCAUCAAAUUAUUAUCUCAUACAUGCGGCAACACAACAAUCAUAAUUAACAUCUCAAACAUCCUAACAUUCAUUACAAUUCGCAAAUCAUACUCGACACAACGUCAAAGCUCUCAUCAUUCACCAAUCACUCAAUUAAAAUGUUUUUAGUUACUAAUUCAUCAUAUUAACUCAGCACCAACACAACCCUAACAAUGUAGAAAGAGUCUACUAAAGUCAAAAAAUCAGAAUCUACAACUCAAAACACACAGACAGACCAAUUACGCGAGUUCAGGUUCAUGGCAGGUUACCUGUCAUGGUAAUGGCACACGCCAUGGACCUUAUCACACUAAAAUGUCACAUGUGUGAAGAGCAGCUCCAAAACUUAAGCCUGGGCUUCAUGACGAGUUACGGAUCAUGAGCAUGGCGCCCGCCACAUCCAUGGCGCUCGCUAUGGAGCUACAGAAAGCAGACUUCGUCUCUUUCAAUGGAGUUCAAAUCAGAACUCUAAUUUUUUAUUCCAGGCAUUUACAACUCAUUUACAACUUCCACUAUUCUCUCUUUUCUUCUUUUAUUGAAUAAAUUAAAAUAGAAUAUCAUUAUUUAAAUUAUUAAAUAAUUCUAAUUAAAAUAUACUAGCUUGUUAAUACUUCCUACGCCCUCAACUCAAGUUCACACACCUCUACCAUCCAAAAUAAUUCAAUUAAAAUGCAUCAAAAUUAAAAUAAAUCAAAAUAAAUUAGAUAAAAUAAUUUACUAAAACUCGGGUGUUAUAAAAGGCUAUGGACAAAGUGGAGUUCUUCUCAAAUCUUCAAACACUUCAUCGUUCAAUGAAUCAGUAGGAUCAAGGGUUGAUUGUUACACAUGAAGGCUUGGAACCAAUUGGUGAUACUAGAAGAUUCAAGAAGCAUGAAUCGAGUAAAGAUUACUCAUAAGAGUAUGACAUUACACUAUAUACCAGUUAAGAUCCAGAUAAAAGAUUUAUUUUUCUCAACAUUAUUGUGGAUUAGUGAUUGUAUGAACUCUUGCAACAUUUGUCAAAAUAAAAAGGAACAAAGCAGUUUCCGAUGGAAAACCAUUGAAGAGUGUAGUAAGCAAAGUGAGGACGAACACUCACUACUAGAAAUUUGGCCUACGGCCACGCUAAAAUUUUCCACAGCUCAGAAACUGUGGCCACAUAUAUGAUUUGGCCAUGGUUAUCAAAGCGUAGACGUAUGUUAUAGAAUAUUGAAUCCAAAGUGUAAAACUGUGGCCUGUACUUCAAUUGCCACGGUUAUAUAACGGUAGAUAUUUUAAGCCGCAACUAAGAAACCGAGGCCUAUAAUUUUCAGUUCAAACUGUGGCCAAAACCUAAAAAAAUAUAUCCCUCCAAAAUUUCCCCCCUUUUUUUUUAAUUUCCCUCUCAUAAUUAUUUUCUUUUUAAUUUUUUUAUAUUAAAAACAUGUAAACGUUUUAUGGUAAAAUCCAAAAUCCCUCUUCUUAAUUUUUUAGGGUUCCUGAGCACCCCUCUCAAUUUCACAAACCCAAACCCAAACCUUAGCAGCUUCACAUUUCUUCACAUUUCCUGACCACUUUCAACCCUCACAAUAUUGAAAAUGAAAAAUAAGAGGGAUUUAGGGUAAGAGUACCUGUGACUAUCGGGCUUCACGUUCCCUCUUCUUCUUCUUCAACAUGAACAGCGGCCACCUACCACUCCGAUCAAAUCUCGCCGUUGUGAUUCGUUCGCAUAUCGAUUCCUCCGUCUCAAUCGAUCCCUCUCUGUUCUCUCAAUCUCGAAGCCUCUGAUCUCAUCCCCGAUUCUAUUCUCGACAUCACUCGCUCCUCAUCUCCGCUUGCUCUCUCAUCGUGAACGGCUCGCGACGGAGAAAUCGUUGGUGAGUUAGUUAGAUGGAGGUUUGAAAUCGUUGAAAUCGUUGAACCUAAAUCCUCUUUUUCAAUCAUUCAGUUCUAGCGAGUAGGUUUCUUUCCGAAUUCGCAGAUGCUAAUGGCGAAGCCAAGUACCUCAACAUCCUGCAAGAUGUUGCGAACCACAAAGCUCGAUCUGUUGAAAUUGAUCUCGAUGACUUAAUGAACGUUAGUUUUAUUGACAUUUUCACUGUAUUGUAAUUGUUAGUUUCUAAGGUUUAGUUAUAGUUGGUGAUUUUAAGUGAUGUGUUUGUUGUUUUCAGUAUAAGGAUCUAGAUGAGGAUUUUUUUACGCGAGUUACUGAGAAUACGAGAAGAUAUAUAGGGAUUUUUGCUGAUGCGAUCGACGAGCUCAUGCCGGAGCCUACUGAGACGUUU